CAGCCUCGGGAGGCAGCAGUGGGGAAUAUUGCACAAUGGGGGGAACCCUGAUGCAGCGACGCCGCGUGGGUGAAGAAGUAUUUCGGUAUGUAAAGCCCUAUCAGCAGGGAAGAAAAAUGACGGUACCUGACUAAGAAGCACCGGCUAAAUACGUGCCAGCAGCCGCGGUAAUACGUAUGGUGCAAGCGUUAUCCGGAUUUACUGGGUGUAAAGGGAGCGCAGGCGGCACGCUAAGCCUGAUGUGAAAACCCGCGGCCCAACCGCGGGAGUGCAUUGGGAACUGUCGGGCUGGAGUACCGGAGGGG
rnacentral:rRNA from 1 species